CUCCCUUGUGGUGUAGUGGGUUAAGGAUCUGACAUUGUCACUGCUGCAGCUGCAGUGACUGCUCUGGUGCAGGUUUGAUCCCUACCCCAGGAACUUCCCCAUGCCCUGCACAGCCAAAACAAAACAAAACAAAACAAAAAACAGAAUAUUUUGUUUAUCAUGGAUUUUUUUGUGCAGUAAUUUAGAUUUUUUUAAAAAAAAUAUUGCAUCAAAAUACAGUUCAUCUUUUUUUUUUUUUUUUUUUUCUCUUUAGGGCCAUACCUGCAGCAUAUGGAAGUUUCCAGGUUAGGGGUCGAAUUGGAGCUGCAGCUGCCAGCCUACACCACAGCCGCAGCAACGAAAGAUCCUUAACUCACUGAGUGAGGCCAGGGAUUGAAACCGCAUCCUCAUGGAUGAGUCGGAUUCUUAAACUGCUGAGCCACAAUAAGGACUCCAAGUUUGUGGGGCCUGCCUUGAACUGUACACCUGAGGCAAGUGCCUCUCUUGCCUCACCCUAGUCCCCACCCUGCAGGGCAGCCUUCACAAUGCCUCCAGCAUGGCCCUUGAGACCUGGGACCAAUCGCAUGCCUUCUCUGUCUGAUUGUCUUCAUUCACAUGUAGGGGAGGGUGGACUAGACAGCCCCUCGGGCCCUCCAGGUCCAAGAUAUGGGGUUUCAUGACUAGGUAUGGGGAAACUGGGUGGAGCAGGAGACAAUGAGUCCCAGUCCGGGAAGAGAAAGGGAAGCUGUCUGCCUCCUCCUACCAGAGAAAGAGGACCAGUAGAAGUUCAACUUUUGCUUGAAUUGAAUCUCAGUUUCCCCAAUAGCUACAACAAGCCAAAGGAAAGGACUCUGUGGCCAAGGUGGAAUAUCCUAGAAUUCUAUGGUGCAUUCCGACUCUGAUUUCUUGACAACCCUAUAAGAUGGGUCCUACUACUAUUCUUGGAUGAAUAAUAGAAAAACAGAGGCUCUGAAAAGUUACAGACCUGUCUAGGGUUACAGUGUUUGUAAGUAGUGAAGCUCACACUUGAACCCAGGCAGUGAAUUCUACCCUCUACUGUCUACCCAAGAGGUCUCACUGCCCAAGGCAAACUAGCCUCUGCAACCAGAUUCCUGUGACAUGCAGUUGAUUUACUCCACUUCCAAAUGAGAAACAGAGAAGCCACCUGUUAAUAAAGGCAGCACCAGGACCAGUGGUCAGGAACCCUGGCUUCUGGCUCUCGGCUCCUGGCUCCCAUCCUGCAGACACCUUCUUCUGUUUGCCUCUCAAAGUGAGGCCUCACUGGGAACUCUGCAUGCCCUGCCUGGGCCUCCAGCUGCUGUUUACUCAGCUAGGUGUGGGCUCUGCCUGGCUCCCAGUCUGCUGUUUGCACAGUAAAUGUCACCCAGUCUAUUCCCCCACUCAAGGACAGGAACAGAGACUGAAAGGAGCAUUCCUUUGCUGGUUUCAGACACCUUGAGUUAAGUUUUCAGUUUCUAUCUAAUGAAAUGCAAAUCACUAUGGUGGGGGUCAUCUCAGAAGCAUCUUGUCCUAAAAGUGAUAGGCCAGGCCUGGGACCUUUCCAUGUCUGUGCAACCUCCAGGAAACCAGACUGAAGUCACAGGGAUUUACGUUUCAAUCUCACUUCCACCACGGGAUAGUUGCAGGACCUUGGGCUUAACCUCUCAGAGCCCCAUGUUCCUCCUUUGAGAAAUGGAGCCAAUUCCUACCUUGCAGAAAUAAAAGAGAGAGAAGAUGCCAAGCACUUUGCACCAUGAGCCUGGCAAAUGUCCCAUACUUGUUAGCUAAUGUUCCUUAUAAUGACUUCUUUCAUACAUCUUCAUGCUGGUUUCUUUGAAAAUAAGGGGAGCUUUACAAGCAAGGAGGACACAACAAGGCUUUCUGCUCUUAGUUACUCUGAUUUCCUAUUACCUGGCUUCUUCCAGAAAAAGCUUCCAAGAACUUUUAGACUCAGAGUAAACAAACAAGGGAGAUUUUAAUCAGUAAAACAGAUGUGCAGAUUACAUCUUUCUCAGGAAGGCCGCUGCCUACAGCUCCAAGCAAAUCCACUCAAUCAGUAACUUUACCUCCCCGAUCGAUUUCCAACCAGCAGUUCCUGUUUUUGAACCAGGAUAUGCAAACAAGAGCACUUACUGGAAGGGAGGGUUCAGGGCCUCUCAGAUUUCGUCAGCUGCCCACUCUCCCAGGAGAGCAGGUGGGACCAGUCUAGCCAGCAGCCAAAGCCUGAAGGCAAACUCCACAUUUCAAGGUCUACAGGGCCUCUUCCUUUUGAGUUUUUUAUUUCAAUGGGAUACACAGAAGAAAUGCCAAGGAGGAAACAGGGUGGAUUUACAGUUGCCAAGCCAAGUGGGGUACGGGGGAAAAAAAACAAGAUGAAGUGGAAAAGGUCAGCUACCUCACUGUGCAAAGUGAGGAGGUGGGGGAGAGCUACAGCCGGGCCACAGCCUCAGCUCUUAGAACCCUGGGUUCCCAGCCCACUUCCUGACCCCAAGAGAUAACCUCUCCCUGGGCCUCCAAGGGGAAGCGACAACAUCACCCAAGCUCAGGCACCUGGAGUCCCUUCAGGUUUCUUUAGGGAGAGAAGCAGAGAGAGGAACGGGGGAGAGGGUGUGAAGAAUUUAAAGCCAAACAAGCGAAGUGUGGGCAUGGGAGGGAAAUCCUCCCUCUCUCUCUUUCUCCUCCCUUCAUUUUUAGAGAAAAGCUCUUGGUUAAAACAAAAAUAUUAAGGAAGUCUUGAAGGGGGCUAAGGAUGAGGGUAGGCAAAGGACAAGGGAUGUUCCAGGAAGUUGAAAUAAGUUUACAGAAAUCCAGGAUCUUUUUAUCCACUUAGUCUCCGGAAAAGUAGCAGGUGUUAAAGGUUGAAUAUAUAUGUUAGUUUCAGGUCUUUUUUAGCACCCGAUGAGCUAUUUACUGCUUUCUAGAGAUUCUAGGGCAAGAGCCAGGUGGCAAGUAGCCUCUCUAGUGUGGAGAAGGGACAGCGGGAAACAUAAAGCUCAAUCCUGUGCAAACUCCUACUCAUUCUUCAAAGCCC
rnacentral:lncRNA from 9 species